GCAAACNCUGGCGGCAGGCUUAACACAUGCAAGUCGAACGGGCACUUCGGUGCUAGUGGCAGACGGGUGAGUAACACGUGGGAACGUACCUUUCGGUUCGGAAUAAUUCAGGGAAACUUGGACUAAUACCGGAUAAGCCCUUCGGGGGAAAGAUUUAUCGCCGAUAGAUCGGCCCGCGUCUGAUUAGCUAGUUGGUGAGGUAAUGGCUCACCAAGGCGACGAUCAGUAGCUGGUCUGAGAGGAUGAUCAGCCACAUUGGGACUGAGACACGGCCCAAACUCCUACGGGAGGCAGCAGUGGGGAAUAUUGGACAAUGGGCGAAAGCCUGAUCCAGCCAUGCCGCGUGUGUGAUGAAGGCCUUAGGGUUGUAAAGCACUUUUGUCCGGGAAGAUAAUGACUGUACCGGAAGAAUAAGCCCCGGCUAACUUCGUGCCAGCAGCCGCGGUAAUACGAAGGGGGCUAGCGUUGCUCGGAAUCACUGGGCGUAAAGGGCGCGUAGGCGGACUCUUAAGUCGGGGGUGAAAGCCCAGGGCUCAACCCUGGAAUUGCCUUC
rnacentral:rRNA from 1 species